AAUUUUGGACAAUGGGCGCAAGCCUGCUCCAGCGAUGCCGCGUGAGUGAAGAAGGCCUUCGCGUUGUAAAGCUCUUUCGGACGGGAUGAAAACGCGCACGCUACUACCCUGCGCGGUACACGGUACCCUAAUAAGAAGCACCUGCUAACUACGGUCCAGCAGCCGCGGUAAUACGUAGGGUGCGAGCGUUCAUCGGAAUUACUGGGCGUAAAGCGUGCGCAGGCGGUUGAUUAAGAAAGGCGUGAAAUCCCCGGGCUUAACCUGGGAACUGCGCUUGUGACUGGUCAGCUAGAGUACGGCAGAGGGGGGUGGAAUUCCACGUGUUGCAGUGAAAUGCGUAGAGAUGUGGAGGAACACCGAUGGCGAAGGCAGCCCCCUGGGCCGAUACUGACGCUCAUGCACGAAAGCGUGGGUAGCAAACAGG
rnacentral:rRNA from 1 species